rnacentral:rRNA from 1 species
AUUGAACGCUGGCGGCAGGCCUAACACAUGCAAGUCGAGCGAGCGGCGGACGGGUGAGUAAUGUCUGGGAAACUGCCCGAUAGAGGGGGAUAACUACUGGAAACGGUAGCUAAUACCGCAUACUAUCGGAUGAACCCAGAUGGGAUUAGCUAGUAGGUGGGGUAACGGCUCACCUAGGCGACGAUCGCUAGCUGGUCUGAGAGGAUGAUCAGCCACACUGGAACUGAGACACGGCCCAGACUCCUACGGGAGGCAGCAGUGGGGAAUAUUGCACAAUGGGCGCAAGCCUGAUGCAGCCAUGCCGCGUGUAUGAAGAAGGCCUUAGGGUUGUAAAGUACUUUCAGCGGGGAGGCGUUACCCGCAGAAGAAGCACCGGCUAACUCCGUGCCAGCAGCCGCGGUAAUUC